CCCUUAGAUGUCCUGGGCUGCACGCGCGCUACACUGAUGCAUUCAACGAGUCUAAAACCUGGUCUGAUAGGGCUGGGUAAUCUUUUGAAUGUGCAUCGUGAUUGGGAUAGAUGAUUGCAAUUCUUCAUCUUCAACGAGGAAUGCCUAGUAAACGCAAGUCAUCAGCUUGCAUUGAUUACGUCCCUGCCCUUUGUACACACCGCCCGUCGCUCCUACCGAUUGAAUGUUCCGAUGAAUACCAUGGACUGAGAGUAUGAAUGGGUUCGCCUAUUUCUGCUUCUCGGGAAGUGGAGUAAAUCUUAACAUUUAGAGGAAGGAGAAGUCGUAACA
rnacentral:rRNA from 1 species